rnacentral:rRNA from 1 species
CACGGGUGAGUAGCACGUAUGCAAUCCACCUGUAACAGGGGGAUAACCCGGAGAAAUCCGGACUAAUACCCCAUAAUAUGGGCGCUCCGCAUGGAGAGCCCAUUAGAGAGAGCAAUUUUGGUUACAGACGAGCAUGCGCUCCAUUAGCCAGUUGGCGGGGUAACGGCCCACCAAACCUUCGAUGGAUAGGGGUUCUGAGAGGAAGGUCCCCCACAUUGGAACUGAGACACGGUCCAA